rnacentral:rRNA from 1 species
UACGGAGGGAGCUAGCGUUAUUCGGAAUUACUGGGCGUAAAGCGCACGUAGGCGGCUUUGUAAGUUAGAGGUGAAAGCCUGGAGCUCAACUCCAGAAUUGCCUUUAAGACUGCAUCGCUUGAAUCCAGGAGAGGUGAGUGGAAUUCCGAGUGUAGAGGUGAAAUUCGUAGAUAUUCGGAAGAACACCAGUGGCGAAGGCGGCUCACUGGACUGGUAUUGACGCUGAGGUGGCGAAAGCGGUGGGGAGCAAACAGG